CCCACCCUCCCUAGCGCCACCCCAACAGGGAAAUGCAACCUCAACUAGAUGCUUGGGUCCCUAGUACUGAUCUCCCACACAGACAGCGUUCACCUCUAAGAGAAAGUGUCUUCAGACGUGGCUCCAACAUGUACCUGGUCUCCAGCAGUUUCUGAUGUUCUCAGUAUAAAAGCAGCACUAUUUGAGAUAGAUAAGCGUCCACACUGGAGUGGGCUUCAGUUUCUACAUGAACAGUUAGGACUUUCUGGAGCUCCAGAGUACCAUCUAUGGCAGCAGUGAG